rnacentral:rRNA from 1 species
CCUACGGGAGGCAGCAGUGAGGAAUAUUGGUCAAUGGCCGAGAGGCUGAACCAGCCAAGUCGCGUGAGGGAAGAAUGUCCUAUGGAUUGUAAACCUCUUUUGUCAGGGAGCACAGUCACCCACGUGUGGGUGUUGGAGAGUACCUGAAGAAAAAGCAUCGGCUAACUCCGUGCCAGCCGCCGCGGUAAUAGGGUGGAUGCGAGCGUUAUCCGGAUUGGUUGGGGUAAACGGGUGCGUAGGGGGGUUAUCAAGUCAGCGGUAAAGUCGUGGGGCUCAACUCCAUCCAGCCGUUGACACUGAUGAUCUUGAGUGGGCGAGAAGUAUGCGGAAUGCGUGGUGUAGCGGUGAAAUGCAUAGAUAUCACGCAGAACUCCGAUUGCGAAGGCAGCAUACCGGCGCCCGACUGACGCUGAAGCACGAAAGCGUGGGGAUCGAACAGGAUUAGAUACCCGAGUAGUC